rnacentral:lncRNA from 1 species
AGAGGCUGACUGGCUGGCUACAUAUCUGUCUCUGGAACAAUAGGUACCUAUAUUCUGCACGGGCUUCUGGGCAGGCAGCACUAACACUCAGGAGAAGGUCUGCCUCUGUCUGCGCCUUCCUGGUUCAAUGCAGGCAGAUGAGUGUCACAGAUGUAACUGAGGCACUGAAUAAUCAACAUAUCGGAGCCAAUUCCCAGGACGGCAAGAGGGGGAACCGGCAGAGAUGACUGACCCUGGAGGACAAGAGCAUUCUUCUGACAAGUUUUAGCAUGGACUAUCCUCAGGAAAAUGAGAUCCAGGAAGAGUGACGCCCUCCUCGAACUGAAAGAUACUCAGGUUGAUGGAGUCAGGGACGAAGUGGCUUAUCAACAACACAGGAUGUCUGCAGGGAACAGAACUUAUUCAGACAUGGCCCAGAUUGUCUGCCCGUGGGGACUGAGGGACCUCUGAGGGUUACAUCAGGAAGGAAGGAGAGGCUGUUUCUACAGGUGCCACAGAAAAAUCGAUGCUGAGCCUCGGAUUAUUGGAUCCCAUAGAACCGUGGAGACUUGGCAGUGAAAUUCUUCCAAAGCAUUCCAUCUGCGCAGGCAGGCAGAGGUUUUCCUGGUUUGGGAAGUAUAAAUCCCGUGGGAAGUCAACUGGAGGACAUUUUACGCGUCACUCAUCCUAUUAUGAGCCUGCUGCUCCUCCGUCUCUUGACAAGGCCACCAACUAGAAGGGCACAGAAUUGUUCAUAAAACAGCUGAAUGUGAAUGUCUUUGGAUUCCCAUUUAAUGAGUUGGCAGCUAAAGGACAGGAGCAGCAAUAAGGCUUCCUGGCUACAUUUUCAUGGUGCCACCAACUGCGAGUUAAGCUGACAAACAUUUUGAGAGCUCGGCCCAUUUCAUUCCCAGCAGGAUGGCAGGAGUUAACUAAAACAGAAUAAACUAAAAAUUGUGCCUUCAUUGCACAUUUGCACUGAUUAUCAGCACUGAAAAUGGCUAAGUUCUGCUUAUCAAGAGCGGGUGACUGAUUGUCCCUGCCAGCUGGCUAAUAUCAUAAUUAGCAAAGUUGCUACCACAUCUGCAAAGUUUAAUCGAAAAAUUUACCAGUGGUAUGAUGGCAUUGUCACCGCGAUCCUGAGGGAAUCAGAGUCGACUUCUGCUUCAACUGGAAUGGCAAGGCUGUAGAGCUGAGAUGAGAAACUGUAAACUUGCUCAGCCAAAGGUUAUGCUUCACAUCACCCACCAGGGAGGAUCAUCUCUCAUGAAAACUUUCAAAUUUGAUUUUGAAAAUUUAUUCAGAAAAAUUUAAGCCACGCUCUUUCCCAACACAGGAAAUAAUAUGCUCCAGAGAAUCCUCUAAUUCACCGAAAAUGGACUUGGAUAACAUUUGGGUUCUCAUACUACCACAGUCCUCUUGAGAAGGACAGCCAGGUACACAAAGCAUUUAACAUUCUGACAUUGAAGUAUUGGAAGAAUGAUUAAAAUAAAAAUCUAAUAAUAUGUUUUGAGGAAUUGCUAACAUAGUUUAUGUGGUCCAGGAAGGAGGAAAGAGCCGCUUUCAUUUCUCCACCAUGUCUGGGGAUGUGUUUCUGCUUCUCUUGCUAGAACACAGUGUUUUAACUGCGUGUCAUCUUUCCAUAGCAUUGUUUCUACACAGUUCAUUGUGAUAGCGUUGGUGCCCAUAGCUGAGCUUAUGCACACAGAAAGGAUCAGAUAAAGCAGAAAGCUCAUGCCGUGGUCUAGCUUGGUGUUUCUUGCAGUGCUUUCAUGAUGGAGAUUUUCUUUAUGAAAUUGUCAUUUGUGAGCAAAUUGCUAUUUAAAAAAUAUUAAAUUAGCUAA